UUUGUUGAAUAAAUAUCCAAAUAAGUCAGUCCAUAAUCAGUGCAUAAUAAAGAAUACAAAAGCAAACUCGCCUAAGAAGAAAUACAGAUAACAAAAGACAUAUGAUAAAAGUUCAAAUUUGAUGUAACUAAGAAGUGAAUUAAAGGAAAAGCAAACCAUUAUUUGUAUGUACAAUCACCAAUAUUUAAUGUUGCUGAGGCUUUAUUACAACAAUCAUUACCCUUCAUUUCUAGUUGUAUUACAUAUUCAUGGAAUAAUUUGGGAAAUCAACAUAUAUUAUAUGUUAUUUUUAGAAGUUUAUUAUCCAUCACUAAGUUAUUCAGCCCUAGAUUUAACUAAAAAAUAACCAAAAAAGAAAGAAAAAAUUCUUAUAACAAUAUAAAUUACAUCAGCAAACAUCAGCAAACACUUUAAAUGGCAUAGAAGAGGAGAGUAGUUAAGUGCAAUUAUGGAAUAGCUCAUUGCUAUUAAAAGCCUAUGUUAGUUGAUAUUUAUGUAAAAGUAUAAAAAGUGUAUGUAUUAAAAAUGUUAAAUCAAAAAAACAACAUAAAGUGCAAUAUGGUUGCAACUAUAUGAAAACUACACAAGGAAAAACAUUAGAAAUUACAGUACACCGAAAUUUUCAUUAAUGUAGAGAAAAAAUUUUUGCAAAACUUCAUAUUCUCAAAAAAUUGAGUUACUAACUUUGGAGACUUAAAUAUCAUCAUGCAACAAUGUUUCACACUAAAAACAAAAGACAAAUAAUGCUCUGUAAUCACUGUAGAUAGAAUCAAGAGGCAACAAAAAAAACCCUACAAAUUUUGGCAUAUAUAUAGCUAAAGUUACAUAAAUGAAAAGGAUAAACAGAGUAUAAUAUGUAAACUCACAUAUAAUACUAAGCUUUCCAAUAAAUAACCCAAAUAAAAAAUAAAAUGGAGGAUGAUCUCAGGACUGUAAGAAAUGUAUUUAAAAGACAAGUGCAAAGAGAGUAAGAAUAAAAAUGACAAUGCAUUCUAUAUAUAAACUAAGCCCUAAGUUAUUUACAAAUCAGGGCAGGCCACAUCCCUAUAGAACAAAAGUUGUUACUACUGCCAAAUUCAGCGUUAGAUAUCAUUACAGGUAGCUUAGGUAUGGUUAAGCUACAUUUAAAAUAACUACACAUAAAUCAAAAUUGAAUGUUCAAGGAACUAACAAGAAGUCAGAAAAAGAAAAUGAACUAAAAACAGAGACAUCAAAUGGAAGGCAAAAACUAAAAUGGCAGACUUAAGGUCUAAUCUUAAGUCUAGCAAAUGAAAGACAAGAUUGACAGAGUGAAUUAAAAGUAUAACCCAACUAUAUGCUGUCUACAAAAAACUCACCUCAAAUAUAAUGAGGAGGGCAAGAUGAAAGUAAAAGCGUAAAAAAAGGCAGAUCGUACAAAUACUAAGCAAAAGAAACAGAACAUAGUAAAAUUCCACUCAACAAGGAUGACUGCUGAAAGACAGAGACGACAACAAGUACACAUUGUUCAAGCACACAUUGAAACUCUUGUGCACUGCACCUGGGAAUGUGAAAUGGUAUAGCUGAAGUAUAAGACAAGAUAGCAGUUUCUCAAAAGUUAAACACAGUGAUAUCACAUGAUCCAGCAAUUCCACUCCUAGAUAAACACACAAGAGAACUGAGAAUAUAGGUCCACACAGAAGUUUGUACAAGAAAAUUCACAAUGGUAUUGUUCUUAAUAAAAAAAAACCCUGAAAUUCAAAUGUCCACCAACUGUUGAAUGGAUAGACAAAAGGAUAGUAAAUAUACUAAUAUUAUAGAAUCUUAUUCAGCCACUAAUAGAAAUCAAGUACCAUACACCCUACAGCAUGGAUUACCCUUGAAAACAUCAUGCCAACUGAAAUGUCAGAAAGGUCCCAUACAGCAUGAUUCCACUUAUGGAAAAUACUGACAACAGGUAAAUCCAUGGAGAUGCAAAGUACAUAGAUCAUUGUCAUGAGGGGCCAAAGGUUAAGUAGAAACAAGGAGUGACUACUAAAUGGAGAAAGAGUUUCUCUUUGGGGAAUAAGAAAUGUUUUAAAACUAAACACUGGCAAUGGAUGCAAAAUGAAUAUAAUAAAAAUGUCUGAAUUGCAAACUUUAAAAUGGCUAAAUGUUAAUAUUGUGUUAUAUGAAUUUAACCUCAACUUUUUUAAAAAAAGAAAUGGCUAUAUUAACAUCAGAUAAAAUAGACUUAAGACAGAUCCAAAAAAGAAGAAAAAAUCCCCAGAGUAGGUACUCCAACAAUCAUAGCAAUUCUCAAUGUGCAUGAAACCAAUACAUGGCUAUGAAAACCACAGCUCACAGCUGAUAAAAAAGUAAAUAAACAAUCCACAGUUCUAGGUGGAAACUACAACAACUCUCUCAUCAAUUCAUAGAACAAUUAGACUAAAUAUCAACAAAGAUACAGAAGAUGCAAAAAACACUAUCAACUAAUAAGCUCUUCUUGAUAUUAUAUAACAGCAACAGAAUACAUACUCUUUUCAAGUGCCUACCAAACAUAUAACAAGAUAGACCACAUUAUUCUGAGCUAUAAAUAAAGUUCAACAAAUUUAAAAGAAUUUAAAUCAACAGAAUUUGUUCUCUGACUACAAUAGAUUCAAAUUAGAAAUCAUUAAAAAAAAGAUAAUAGGAAAAUCUCCAAAUACUUGCAAAUUAAACAGCUCUAAUAUUCCACAAAUCAAAGAGAAAUACUCAAGGGAAAUAAAACCAUACAUUGUGCAAACACAACAUAACAAAUUUGUAGAACACAACUAAAGCUGUGCAGAGAGGGAAUUUUAUAGUACUAAAUGUACACAUUAGAAAAGUAAAAGUCUCCAGUCAAUAUCUAGGUUCCCCUCAAAAAUGUU